UCUACCUUUAAAAACAGUCCUGUGAGGCUGGCAAGGUAAGAGAUCAUACAUGGCAAAUGCAUGUAGAGGGGCGUUUGCGCACUUCACAAGCGGCAAACACCUUGCCUGAAACAGGCAGGGUGUUUUUUUGU
rfam:Caldibacillus debilis strain B4135 NODE_48, whole genome shotgun sequence.